CUGGAAAAAUCCUAGCCUUUGAAUUCUAGAGAAGGUGGAUUUGAGAAAUAUUUCCCCUCCUCCUUUCUUUGUCACCCUGCAAUUAUUAAACUCUUUCUCUGCUGCAACUUCUAUCUCAGACUACUGGAUUUUUCUGGUCAGCAGGCAAGAAGAACUCAUAUGGUCAACAAGAGAGCUGCAUUCCUUGUAUUUCUUGGCUCAUAGCCCCUUCCACUAUCUUCAAAGCCAGAGAAUAGCCUCUUCAAAAAUCUCUCUCUGCUUCUCCUUUCACAUUUGGACUCACCAAGACAAUCAAGAAUAAUCUUCCGUCUCAUGAUUCUGAUUUAAUCACAUCUGUGAAGUUCCUUUUGCUUAUCACAAUUGCUUAGUUUCUUUUUUCUUAAUAAAAAAUUAGUAUACUGGACAUGACUGAACAAAGAAUUACUGACUUUAUGGAUAUCUUAAUAUGAACUUCCAAAGCUGAAAAGUAAAGGGAAAAAAGAUUACCCAAAACUUCAAUAUCCAAGAACUGUGGGCACCUGCAAAAAGUGCAGCAUAUACGUAAUGGGAAUAUGAGAAAGAGGGAAAAAAUAAAAGAAACAGAAGAAACAUUUGAAACAAUGAUGGUGGACAAUUUACCAAGUUAAUGUCAGACAACAAACCACAAAUCCAGGAAAAUCAGAGAACACCAAGUAUGAUAAAUGAAAAGUAAAAUAAAAUAAAAAUAAAUAAACUACAUCCGGAUAUAUUAAAUUCAAACUAUAAUCAAAGACUUUUAAAAAAAUCUAGAAGGAAAUCACAUCUUAUUAUAGAGGAACAGAGGUUUUUCCAGUGGAGGACAAGAGAUAACUUGAGGGCCAACUACAGAACAGUAAGGACAGACUCAGAGGCGUGGAAUCUGCAUCCUCUGAGGGUAACGACUAAAAGAGAUGUCAGUGACAAUAGAGGAGAUUCUACCACAGCUGUCUGAAGCAAGUACUUUAAAAUGAAGCUUAGUAAUAAGAAAAAAAAAAAAAAAAAGGAAGACUACCCGA